AUUGAACGCUGGCGGCAGGCCUAACACAUGCAAGUCGAACGAGUGGCGGACGGGUGAGUAAUGUCUGGGAAACUGCCUGAUGGAGGGGGAUAACUACUGGAAACGGUAGCUACUACCGCAUACCAUCGGAUGUGCCCAGAUGGGAUUAGCUAGUCGGUGGGGUAAAGGCUCACCUAGGCGACGAUCCCUAGCUGGUCUGAGAGGGUGACCAGCCACACUGGAACUGAGACACGGCCCAGACUCCUACGGGAGGCAGCAGUAGGGAAUAUUGCACAAUGGGCGCAAGCCUGAUGCAGCCACGCCGCGUGAAUGAAGAAGGCUUUCGGGUUGUAAAGUACUGUCAGCGGGGAGGCGGUAUCCAAAGAAGAAGCACCGGCUAACUCCGUGCCAGCAGCCGCGGUAAUUC
rnacentral:rRNA from 1 species